UACGUAGGGUGCGAGCGUUGUCCGGAAUUACUGGGCGUAAAGAGCUCGUAGGUGGUUUGUCGCGUUGUUCGUGAAAACCGGGGGCUUAACCCUCGGCGUGCGGGCGAUACGGGCAGACUGGAGUACUGCAGGGGAGACUGGAAUUCCUGGUGUAGCGGUGGAAUGCGCAGAGUAUCAGGAGGAACACCGGUGGCGAAGGCGGGUCUCUGGGCCGAUACUGACGCUGAGGAGCGAAAGCGUGGGGAGCGAACAGG
rnacentral:rRNA from 1 species